rnacentral:tRNA from 1 species
GCCCUGGCUCUGAUGGCAGAGCAUGAGACUCCUAAUCUCAGGGUAGUGGGUUCGUGUCCCAUGUUGGGUG